CAAUAGCGUAUAUUAAAGCUGUUGCGGUUAAAAAGCUCGUAGUUGGAUUUCUGUCAAGGACAACUGGUCCGCCCUCCGGGUGAGCACAUAGUUUGGUCUUGACAUCUUGCUGGAAGCUGUUGCUGUACUUGGCUGUGUGGCGCAGUGUUCAGCACUUUCACUUUGAGGAAAUUGGAGUGUUUCAAGCAGGCACAUGCCUUUGGACACAGUAGCAUGGAAUAAUUAGAUUGGGCUUUUGCUCCAAUUUGUCGGUUUCUGGAGCUGAGGUGAGUAUUAAUGGGGAUUGUUGGGGGCAUCCGAAUUUAGCCGUCAGAGGUGAAAUUCUUGGAUCUGCUAAAGACGGACAACUGCGAAAGCGUUUGCCCAGGAUGUUUNCAUUGA
rnacentral:rRNA from 1 species